AACGCGAAGAACCUUACCUACCCUUGACAUCCAGAGAAUCCUGCAGAGAUGUGGGAGUGCCGAAAGGAACUCUGAGACAGGUGCUGCAUGGCUGUCGUCAGCUCGUGCCGUGAGGUGUUGGGUUAAGUCCCGCAACGAGCGCAACCCUUGCCGUGUGUUGGUCGCAAGAUCUCUCACGCGGGACCGCCGGUGACAAGCCGGAGGAAGGUGGGGAUGACGUCAAGUCAGCAUGGCCCUUACGUCCCGGGCUACACACGUGCUACAAUGGGAGGGACAACGAGUCGCGAACCCGCGAGGGCAAGCUAAUCUCACAAACCCUCUCUCAGUUCGGAUUGAAGGCUGCAACUCGCCUUCAUGAAGUCGGAAUCGCUAGUAACCGUAGAUCAGCUACGCUGCGGUGAAUACGUUCCCGGGCCUUGUACACACCGGUACUA
rnacentral:rRNA from 1 species